UGGGGAAUUUUGGACAAUGGGCGCAAGCCUGAUCCAGCCAUGCCGCGUGCGGGAAGAAGGCCUUCGGGUUGUAAACCGCUUUUGUCAGGGAAGAAAUCUUCUGAGUUAAUACCUCGGGAGGAUGACGGUACCUGAAGAAUAAGCACCGGCUAACUACGUGCCAGCAGCCGCGGUAAUACGUAGGGUGCAAGCGUUAAUCGGAAUUACUGGGCGUAAAGCGUGCGCAGGCGGUUUUGUAAGACAGAGGUGAAAUCCCCGGGCUCAACCUGGGAACUGCCUUUGUGACUGCAAGGCUUGAGUGCGGCAGAGGGGGGAUGGAAUUCCGCGUGUAGCAGUGAAAUGCGUAGAUAUGCGGAGGAACACCGAUGGCGAAGGCAAUCCCCUGGGCCUGCACUGACGCUCAUGCACGAAAGCGUGGGGAGCAAACAGGAUUAGAUAGCCCUGGUAGUCCACGCCCUAAACGAUGUCAACUGGUUAGUUGGGAAGGUUCCUUCUCAGUAACGUAGCUAACGCGGUGAAGUUGACCGCCUGGGGAGUACGGCCGCAAGGUUG
rnacentral:rRNA from 1 species